rnacentral:rRNA from 1 species
UACGUAGGUGGCAAGCGUUGUCCGGAUUUACUGGGCGUAAAGGAUGCGUAGGCGGACAUUUUAAGUCAGAUGUGAAAUACCCGAGCUUAACUUGGGUGCUGCAUUUGAAACUGGGUGUCUAGAGUGCAGGAGAGGUAAGUGGAAUUCCUAGUGUAGCGGUGAAAUGCGUAGAGAUUAGGAAGAACACCAGUGGCGAAAGGCGACUUACUGGACUGUAACUGACGCUGAGGCAUGAAAGCGUGGGGGAGCAAACAGGG